CGGGCUUUGUUCUGGGGCUGUGCUCCAUGGACCCAGCCUCCUCCUCCCUGAGCUUCAGGGGGACGGAAGAUCCCCUGGAGACAGAAAUGGCAACCCACUCCAAUAUUCUUGCCUGGAGAAUCCUAUGGACAGAGCGAGUCAGACACGACUGAAGCGACUUGGGACACACGCACAGAUAAUGACAAAGAGAAAAAGAGUAACCUUACUGUGGGCGAACUGGCGGACCCCACCUUAACCAAGUGAUCAAAGAGGACAUCAGUAGUAAUUGGGCAAAGUGAAAUUGUGUGCCCCUCCAUAAGUGAUGUAAAAGCAUCACUUCUGUGGUCUUCUUGCCUGAAGCACCUGAUCUAUUCAUAAGGAAAGAUCAAAAAGAUUCCAAAUAAAGGGACAAUUAGCCUAUACAGAUUCAAAAAUGUCAAGGUCGCAAAAGUCAAAGAAAAAGGAGCUGUUCCAGAUUUUAAAAAAAGAGUAAAGAGGCACAAAAACGAAAUAGAACAUAUAUCCUGGAUUGGAUGUUGGGUCAGGAAAAAAAGUUUUUUGUUUGUUUGCUUUAAAGGGCAAGAGUGGAAUAAUUGGCAACAUUUCAAUAGGUCUAAAUGUAGAUAAUAGUUACCUACAAUGUUAAUUUCCUAAUUUUUGCAUCUGUUUUUAAGAAAAUGUACAUAAAACCAUUUAGAGAUAAAAGGGUGUCCUGUCUGCAAUUCAUCCCCAGCAGUUUAGACAAAAUAUAUGCAGAGACAGAAGGAUAAAGCAAGGGUAGUAAAAUGUUAACACUUGAGGAAUCUGAAUGCAG
ensembl:lncRNA